UACGAAGGGGGGCUAGCGUUACUCGGAUUGACUGGGCGUAAAGGGCGCGUAGGCGGCCUUCUAAGUCGAACGUGAAAUCCCCGGGCUCAACCCGGGAACUGCGUCCGAUACUGGAAGGCUUGAAUCCGGGAGAGGUGAGUGGAACUGCGAGUGUAGCGGUGAAAUGCUUAGAGAUUACAUGGAAUACCAAUUGCGAAGGCAGGUUACUACCAAUAUAUUGACGCUGAUUGGGACGAAAAGCGUGGGGAGCGAACAGG
rnacentral:rRNA from 1 species